CCUACGGGAGGCAGCAGUGGGGAAUAUUGCACAAUGGGGGGAACCCUGAUGCAGCGACGCCGCGUGGGUGAAGGAGCACCUCGGUGCGUAAAGCCCUAUCGGCAGGGGAGAAAGGCGGGCGGGGCCCGUCCGGACGGUACCUGACUAAGAAGCCCCGGCUAACUACGUGCCAGCAGCCGCGGUAAUACGUAGGGGGCAAGCGUUAUCCGGCUGCACUGGGUGGAAAGGGAGCGUAGAGGGCGACGCAAGUCUGGAGUGAAAGCCCGGGGCCCAACCCCGGGCCUGCUCUGGAAACUGCGGCGCUGGAGUACGGGAGGGGCAGGCGGAAUGCGUGGUGUAGCGGUGAAAUGCGUAGAUAUCAGGAGGAACACCGGCGGCGAAGGCGGCAUGCUGGCCCGUGACUGACGUUGAGGCUCGAGAGCGUGGGGAGCAAACAGGAUUAGAUACCCCAGUAGUC
rnacentral:rRNA from 1 species